rnacentral:lncRNA from 1 species
UAUGUAUUAUUCUGGAGACUGGGCUAAUGGACAUGAGGACUCAAGGCGGAACCCAAAGAGAUCACAGCUCUGGCUGAAGAUGCAAAGAAAUGAUUUGGUGAUUACACUUUUCUUUGUUAUCUCUAGCUACCCUUCAUUAGCAUGAAUGAUUGAGAGAUUACGAUACUUAAAAUGCUGGCAUACAAUAUACAGUCAGCUCUCAAUUUCCAGUGUGCAACGAAAUAACUGAGGCUCUCUAAGGCUUACCCUAAGUCCCAGGGAUCUGCUAGGCAGCUCAGCACAUCCCCAGCUCACACCCCUUCACUGCUCAGCCUGUGUGUCUGCACAGACUGCAGCCCAUCUUGAGAUUAUCCUAAGUAAAA